rnacentral:lncRNA from 1 species
GGAGGAAAACGGCAGAGACAGAAUUAAAAGCAAAGUACUUCGAUCAAGAUGCUUAUAAAGAUUUUUACAAUGCACCAAUGUUCUUAAGACCAAGAACAACUCCAACACCAAUUAUGUGACCAACAGACCCACAUGCCAAGGUAUCAGCAAGAGUGAAACCAGCUGGAUCGCCAGUUUGUAAGCCCGAGUCCCUCACUUCAAGCUUCAAUCCUGCAGUUGCCUUCCUGUUUGCUGAUGGGGCUAACCCAAAUCUCCCAGCAAAUAGCAUGAGGCUUGUGCUAGUCACCAUUAUCUGACAAUUUAGAAAGCAUAAACUGUUUCAGUCCCUAUUUAAUCCUUGUAAGAAAGACGUUCAAUUCUCUUGCAAGAUAACAAAUACAUAAAUCAGUAAAAAUCAUUACCAAAUUUGUGGGCGAACCAAUGAAAUCCAUACGAGCACCCAGGGCUCCAUUUCCCUUUCGCCUUGUAGGCUGAACAGCUGCCUGCAUGAUGUACAAGAAAUUUCAACUUCGAUCAAUAUUGUCUACAUAUGUUCAAGAGAAGACAACCUUAAUUACCCUAGCUCUUGUUAGUAUAUAUCACUAACCAGGGAUUUUACGGGGGCAGCUGAGGGUCUCAGGCCACUGAAUUGUGGGAGAGCAGUAGCAGUCAUCAUGGUAGUGGCUGCCAUUUUUGCUUCUUUGAAUGAAAAAAAUUGACCCAGGAAAAC